rfam:Ehrlichia ruminantium str. Gardel, complete genome.
UCAGGUAAGAAAGUAGUUGCUGUAUUUCAUAAUGCAGAGGAAAGUCCGGACUCCAAGGGAAAAUGGUGACAGGUAACUCCUGUCGGAGGUAACUCUAGGUAUAGGACUACAGAAAAUAACCGCCUUACUAAUAAGGUAAGGGUGAAAAGGUGUGGUAAGAGCACACCGUACUUAUGGCAACAUAUAGUAGCUAAGCAACCACCACCAGGAGCAAGACUAAAAGAGAUAUAUGUGUUUUCCCUCACAAUUAUCUAGGUAAGUCGCGUGAGGUAGAUAGCAAUAUUUAUCCCAGAUGAAUAACUACACAAACAGAAUCCGGCUUACUCUUACCUGACCAU